AAGCAAGUUGUGUUAUUUUUUACCAGCACGUGCCUUUAUUGAAGGUGUGAAGCCAAUAAUGACACAAUGUAACAUUGGCGAGCCUGACACUCAUUACCUAAUUUAAUCUUCACAGCAACUCUGUAAAGUACAGAGUUAUUCCCAUUUUACAAGAUAUGGCAACUGAGAUUCGGGAAAAGGUUUUACAGCUUGGAACUGGCAGAUACAAUCUGUCUGAAUCUCAUCCACCACUCUGGCCUCUGAUUCUCCACAGCUCCUAAGUACAGAUACUGGCAUUGCUCUAUUUCCUGGCGUGGCCAGAAGUGUGUGAACAAAAUUGGAUAAUUUCACAUCUACAGGUACGGAAGUGUCAGUUUCACGAGAGUGGGAGCUGUUCAAAGAUGGGAGAUUAUCAUGUCCACCUAUGCACCCCAGCUCCUAAGAGUAAACCUGGCACACAAUAAGGACCCAGUAUGUGUCUGCUAAAUAGCACAAUAGAUGAACACCAGCAUCCCCAUCUUAUCUGCUCUGUUAUUUCAGACUCCCUAAUUAUGACAUCUCACAGUGACCCUUCGGCCCACCAGGCCUCCAUCAACAGGCUUGAAAUCAGUGUGUCACCAUCUGAGGCAACGGAGCUGGGCGAUCCAACAAGCAGGUACCAGGCCCUCACUAUGUGCAAGGACAUAUGUGAGAUUCUGUGCAGGGUACCCAGCCAAGCAUAUAAGGCCGCACAGUCAAGGAGCUCAGGGCGCCGAUGGAGAGGAGCCAGGAAGCAUGAUCUGAUGCAGAUGGUGGCAUGCUUGUAA
rnacentral:lncRNA from 1 species